CAGACAGCCUCAGGCCAGUGGAGGCUGCCAUCUUGGAUUCUAACGCAUAUCCUAGCGGCGCCGCUGAUAGUGAAGCUACGGGCGGCCAUCUUGGGUUUGGGCUGAGGGCCUUCGGCGGAGACUGGGGCGACGGCCAUCUUGGAUCCGGGUGUGAAGUCGGAGGGGGUCCCGGUGACACGAGCGGAUGUUUUCUUCAGGGAGCCAUGUUGGUUUCGGGCAGCCCUGAGUCGUUAGGGCCAAGCAGAGGCACGUCGCUGAGUCCACGGAGUGAUUGGGUGGAGAAAGGUGGUGUAUCCAGUAUGCUGUGAAAUGUUGAGAGAAGGCAAGAUGAAAUACCUCUGCUUUUGCCCAAGCAGAGAGGAAUGGGAAGCAGUAUGUGUGGAUGGAGAGAAAAUAACCUGAGCGUCCCUACCUUUCACUUGCUCUCCCAAGAUUUUAAAAUCCUUUUUGAUCCUGGAGAUUGAUGAAGAUCCCUUCUUCAUCUUGAGCAAGCUGCCAAAGUCAGGAAUCAACUUGGGAAGAGAGAAGGAUUUCUUCAGUGUGCAAAUCAGGUAUAGCUUCUGCUUACAAGGAUCUCAACUGGGAGUCUGCUGCCUUUAAUAAUGUUCUUAAGACAGACUUGCAGUCUCUUAACUCUGUCAGCAUUUUCCAAGUAGGAAAUUAGGAACUUCCUGAUGCUACACCAGAAGAAAAUUUAGUAAGUAAUUGAUGUCUUGAAAUUACAUGUUAAAUCACACAAAAGUGAUUUUUGUCUUUUAAAUCUUUGGUUAUUGAAUAUAUGUAAGUGCCAGAGUGCCACUGAUGUCAGUGGAGUUAGCUACAUGAAAUCUCUUGACCUGUAAGGUCUCAUUGAAUGUCUUGAAAUCAGCCAGAAUCUCUUGCUGAAUCUUGGAAAAUACAGGCAAUUAAAAGGGAAUUUUCACCACAACUUACCUCCAUAAACAGCUACAAACAUCAAUAGAUUUAAAUUACGUUUAAAACUCUAAUGUCCUGCUUUAGUUCUCACUUGCUCUGGAGACAUGGCAUUGAGUGAGCUGCUUGUGGGACCUUAAUAUAACCAUCAGUUACAUUGGUGAUUAUAUAAAGUAAGUUUGCUUAUGUAGGAAUUAUUAUGAACCAGAGUAAAUGCCUGUAAAGUACUUCAGGUUUUUCAGUUGCUAAGUGCUCUAUGAAUGUUAAAGCAUUCACUGUAAUUGCUUUGUGUGUUAUUUGUUACUGUGGGUUCCUGCGGGGCUACUUUAGCCACUUAAGCAUAUUUUAAAGCAAGAACACCACUAUAUAAUGAAAAUGCACCAUAAAAAAAAAAUCUCAAGUGCUAUACUUGAAUAAAUCUUAUUUGCUUUCAGGUCUCAUCCCAGUCCAACUCUGGGGGCUAGAGUUACAGAAAGAUGUUUUCGCAGUGCAAGCUAUAUUCAUUCAAAGAUGUAGAGAAUCUAGGUAAUGCACGUGCAGAGACGUACAUUGCUGGAGAGGGUAAUCCUGGCUGUAAAGCACCCAUAUCCUGCAUUACUGCAUUAACAGCUCUUAGAUCGUGUAACAGCCUCAAUUUCCCUGAUUUUUUAGGGAUAGUAAAAAUUGGUGUAUUCCAUGGACUAGUGGAUGGCUUAAUAUGACCUUUUCCUAAUUGUUCAUUUACUAAUUCAUGCAUCUGGGCGAGCUUUUCUUUGCUUAGCGGCCAUUGAUCAAUCCAAACUGGUUUAUCUGUGAGCCGGGUUAACUUCGGGAUUGUUCACCCAUCAAUGGCUGCCAUUAAAAAUUUUCAUUCAUCAAACUAAAGCCCAUUUGGUUUAAGGCGUCUCUACCUAAAAGCCAAACUGAAGUGUUCAUUACAUAGGGUUUAAUUUGUACACAUCUAUUUUCUUCGUUCUGUAUCCAUACUGAAAUCAGGUCUCUGCUAAUUUUUGUCAUCUGUGUUCUUCCUACUCCGACAACAGGGGUGUCUAAAUUCUCUAAAGGCCAGCUUUUUGGCCAAUAGGAUAACGGAACAAUGGUAACGUCUGCUCCCGUACUGUACCCAACCAUUUGUUUGCCAAUUGAAUGUUGGAAUACAACCAUCUGAGUGGGCUUUACCUGUGAAAGUGGCAUUGCCAGUCUUACCUCAGGUACUCCAGUGGAUCCAAAACCACCAUCUUGAUGCUUACGACUUCCUGAAAAUGGAACUUUAGCUCUGAAAGGAACUAAUUGAGCUAUUUUAGUUCCUUUAGGUAUAUAAACUGGUGGCUGCCAUACUUUAAUCAUUAUUCCAAUGUUUCCUUCAUAAUCUGCAUCAAUAACACCGGGGAGCACAAAAAUACCCUGUUGAGAGGCCGAUGACCGUCCAAAAAGCAGAGCACUUAAACCAUAGCCAAGGGGUCUGAUAGCAUUGGAUGAGAUAACCGUUAUAUCCAUAUUGUGGAUGGUUACAUCUACUGCUGUUUCCAUAUCCACUCCUGCACUUCGUGCAGUGGCUGAUCUGAGGCCAUCCAGGCAGCCACUGGUGUUAAAGGGUGUUUUUGUGUCAUCACGCUCACCCUUUUUGCGCUCGUUAAUCCGUUUCCCUUAGACGUUACGUGUCUGGCCACUCAAGAGUGGUACUCAGUGGCUCUAUGUCCAAACUUGCCACAUUUGUAACAAUUGCCAUUAAAUCUGCUGUUGGACCCUGAUGAUCUGAUGGAGCUGUUUAUCCAUACCAAUGGUCUGGACUGAUGUUUAUUUUUCAUAUGUCCCACUUUUCCGCAGUUAAAGCAUUUUGGCCUCCAAUUUCCUUUGUUCUGUCGAACUAAUGGUUUCAAUGCUGUUGCCAUGGCUUCAGCUAAAUGUGCUGAUGAUCCUACCCGAGAGCAGGCUUCUAUCAUGUCCACCAAAGUUGCCGUCUGCGGGACAGCCUGCAGGAUCUUUUUGCAAUCAUGGUUAGCAUUAGCAACUGCUAAGUGUAAUUCUAUUUCCACUUUUGCUUCAGCCGACAUAUUUGGUAUACAAUCCAGAGCUGCUCUUCGACAGUCUAAAAAGGUCAUAAAAGGUUCAUUGGGUUUCUGUAUAAUGGUUGUGUAUGAGGGAACUGGCACUCCCAUGUCAGGGACUAUCUUAAACGCUUGACGAGCCAGUGUCUGUGUUGCAAAAUAGCUUCAUGGAGUUGGGCUUGUACCUGAUGGUCAACAAACGGUCCUUUUCCUAACAUCAUAUCCGCUGUGACAACUCGCCGGGGAUCUCCUUGCUGUAAGUCCAUAUUUUCUACUACUGCCACAUCGACUCUUUUUUCCUAUUCAGACUCCCAUAGUAAUACCUGAGAGGGCUUCAGGAAGGUAUCUGCUAGCUUCCUGCAGUCAAAUGGAGUCAUUAAUCCGCUGGCGAAAAUAUGAUCUAAUAAGGUUUGAACAUAUGGGUUGGUCAAGCCAUAUUGCAUGACAGCUUUCUGGCCUUCCCUUACCAACUUCCAAUCCAAAGGUGCCCAUUGUCAUUGUGUAGGAUUAUUAUGUGCUGUUAUUACUGGAAAGGCUUGUGGAAUGAAUUCUCCUUCAACUACUGCAUCACGUAUGAGGUCUCUCCAUUUCUUAGCCGGAUCAUAGUCAUCCGACUGAGGGGGUCUCUGAGUACCUGCGGGGGUGAAACUUUAAUCUUUUGUCUAGUUAAUUUGUUAAGCUGUUUCAACAGUUGAUUAGCUAUUGCUUUUGGCUUUUCUAUCAGUUCCUCCAAGUGGGCCAAAGUCCGUUUCAUAUCUUCUCCGUGCCUUAUUAAUUCUUCCUUUAAGAAUUGUCUUUGUUGAUCUUCCCCUUCACUAGAUGUUGGGGGUGAUGAUGGAAGAGGAAUACACUCAGGGAUUGAUAAGCUCAGGGGCAAUGGCAGAUCCGUAGUAUUGAGGGCAAAGCGUACCUUUCAGGCAUAGCAGCAGGAUGGGAAGAGGCAGGACAGUGAAGAGUGGGUGGAGGGGAGGAGAAACAAUGUGUGGGCUCCUAGAAAGGUGCUCUAGGGGGGUUUGGGGGGGGCAUUCUCUCCUCCACUAGAGGUGGAGCCGAGGGUACUAUGACAUUAUCACCUCCAAGGAAUCUCUUGGUAUUUUCUUCCAGAGGUGGAGCCAAUGGCACUAUAAAGUCACCACCUCCAAAGAACCUUUUAGCAUCUACUGGGAACGCAGAUGGUAUGGCAUUUUCUGCAUUCAUGGCAGCAGCUGUAACAUACUCGGCUUCUAGCUAUUGUAGAAUGGAUGAUACUAGUUUACACAGGCCAAUAGCAUUAUUCAACAUGUCUCCUAGAUUUUCCCAAUGUUCCAUUUCAUAUACUUCCUGUGGGGAGACAAAGAAACCUACAUCCUAUCCCCAUCUUACAAGUCUUAAUUCUCUCUUUCAUAGUUGAAUCCUUUCUCAGCAAGGAUAUGCUGGAGGUUGUCAAUAGAGUUUUCCUCUUUGCUCAUCAUCUUUCCCAUUAUACUGGUUUAAUUGGGUCACUUGCCUUUCCAGACAGGAAUCCAGGUAAUUUUCUGCUGAGGUUUCUUAAUCCAACAAAUUCAGCUGAUCAUGUCGGGGUCACCAAAUGUUGUAGUGGUACAAGCAAUAUUCAUUCAAACAUGUAGAGAAUCUAGGUAAUGAACAUGCAGAGACAUACACAAGCAGCGUAGUACAACCAACAGAGUUGACUUAAAGCCACCCUUUACUUGCUAGCUACUUCCUUAUAUGCUGCUUCUGCACAUGUGAUCACACAGGGCCCAAUUGAUUACCUUGCAGCACCUGUUUCUGAUAAUUGGCAGUAGCUUGCCAGCUGCAUUAACUUGUCACUACCAUCUUUAUUCAAGCUGGCUGGUUGUGGUAGUUUGACCAUGGCUGGAUGCCAGGUGCCCACCACACUGCUCUAUAACCCACCUCCUCAGCAAGCCAGGGAAGGGGAGAAAAUAAGAUGAGAGUCUCGUGGGUUGAGAUAAAAGCAGUUUAAUAAAGAAGCAGCAAAGCCGCGUGCGUGGGAAGCAAAGCGAAAGCAGAUAAAGCUGUUAUUCUCUACUUCCCAUCAGCAGCGAUGUCCGGCCACCUCCCGAGAAGCAGGGCUUCAGUAUGCGUAGCGGUUGCUUUUGGAAGGCCAGAAAUGAAUCUCGCCUCCCCUUCCUGCUCCUCUCCCCCAGUUUAUAUUACUGAGCUGACAUCAUAUGGUAUGGAAUAUCUCCUUGGUCAGCCUGGGGCAGCUGUUCUGGCCAUGGUCCCUCCCAAGAUUGUGCCCACCCACAGCUAUUGGUGAAGGUGGGGGAAGGAAUGCUGGAGGGACAGCCCUGAUGCUGUGUGAGCAGUAGUCAUAAUAUUGAUACAAACAGUAAGCACAGCACUGCAAGAGCUGCUGUGGAAAAUCACUACCAUCCCAGACCCACUACAGUCUCCACCCCUUAUUCCAUACAAUUUAUGUCAUGCUCAGAUAAACCAUCUUAACAACCCAUAUACAUUCUUAUAUACUCUCAUUAACCGGUACCCCCACUCUUCAACAGACAAACAUCAUUCUUGUAUUCCCUCUUGCAUCAAACAAACAAACAACAUUCUUGUAUCUUUCAUCCUCUGCAGAUGUUCACUGGAGCAGGCCAUAACUUAUGUCUCAUCUAUCAAGAUGGAUAUCCAGGCCAGGGGAAACACUGUGUUCAGUGUUGGGCACCAGCACCGGCUUGGUUUGUCCACUUGUCCGGUUUCUUGCGAAGUUCAUACCUCAUUGCCUACAACAGACAACUCACAUAACAGGUUAUUUUUCCCCCAAGGUUAAAUCUCCUUGAGGUACACAUCAAGUUUCCCCAUCCUUUCUCGUCACCCAUCAAGUACACCCAGGCCCUUUCCCAUGGGAGGUGCAACCCAUACUGCCUUCCCCAGCCAUUUCCCUGGGUGCACUACAGGGACCUUAUCUCCUUCCACAGUAUGUAGGUGUCGUGGUUUUGCCCAGCUGGAGCAAAGGGGGAAAAAAACCCGCAACUCCUCCCCCUCCCAGCGGAACGUGGAGGGCAUCGGAGAAGGAAAAAAAAAAGUAAAAGAGCCUGCAUAAGUUGAAAUAAGAACAAUUUACUAGGGAAAAUUGAAGGGAAACAACUAUAACAAAGACAAGGGGAUAUUACAAAGCAAAUUGGUGAGUGAUGCAGUUGCUCACCACCCGGGACCUGACCUAAGCGACCGAUCGGGACCGGUGACCCAGAAACCACAACACCGGAAGAGCUUCUUCCGGCCAGCCCCCACCUAUAUACUGGGCAUGACGUUAGGAUGGUAUCGAAUACCUGCUGGCCAGCCUAGGUCAGCUGUUCAGGCUGUGCCCUUUCCUGGUUCCUCAUGGGAAUUAACUCUAUCCUAGCUCAAACCAGGACAUUCCACCCGUUAUUCUAUACCAUUUACAUGUCAUGUCUAGUUUUACACAUCAUAAUCAUCUACACAUACAUAGCAUAGAGCAACUAUAGGAAUAAUGACAUUUAACAGCUAUCAUUAUACAAGUUAGUUCACGGGUUAUUCUCACCCAGAAUCAAAAUCCCUUGAGGCACACAUCGAGUCUCCUUAUCCUUACACAUCACCCACCAAGUACACCCAGGUCCCUGAACAAAAAUAAUCCCAUGGAUGGGUUUGCCUUUACCUGAGGCAGGACACACCCAGACUGCCUUCCCUAACAUGUCUUUUAUAUGUACCACAGGGACUUUGUCACCUUCUACAAUAUGUAAGGGUUCUGAUUGGGCAGGGCCAGCUCGAUUGACAGAUCCUCUGGAGUUGACUAACCAGGUGGCCUUUUCCAAGUGUGUAUCCCAAUACUUAAAAGUUCCAUCUCCCAUUGCUUUCAGUGUGGUUUUCAAUAACCCAUUGUAUCGCUUGACUUUUCCCGAGGCUGGUGCAUGAUAGGGAAUAUGAUAAACCCAUUCAGUGCCAUGCUCUUUGGCCCAGGCAUCUAUGAAGUUGUUUCUGAAGUGUGUCCCAUUGUCUGAUUCAAUUCUUUCUGGGGUGUCAUGUCGCCAGAGGACUUUCCUUUCAAGGCCCUGAAUAGUGUUCCGGGCGGUGGCAUGAGCCACAGGAUAUGUUUCCAACCAUCCUGUGGUUGCCUCCACCAUUGUGAGCACAUGGUGUUUGCCUUGGUGAGUCUGUGGCAGUGUGAUGUAAUCAAUCUGCCAGGCCUCUCCGUAUUUAUAUUUCUGCCAUCGUCCUCCAUACCAUAUGGGCUUCAACCGUUUUGCUUGUUUAAUUGUAGCACGUCUCACACUCAUGGAUAAUCUGUGCAAUAGUGUCCAAGGUUAAGUCCACCCCUCGAUCACGAGCUCAUUUAUAGGUAGCAUCUCUGCCUUGAUGACCUGAGGUAUCAUGGGCCCAUCGAGCUAAAAAUAACUCCCCCUUAUGUUGCCAAUCCAGAUCUAUCUGAGAAAUCUUAGCAGCCUUGUCAACUUGCUGGUUAUGCAGAUGUUCUUCCGUGGCCCGCUUUUUGGGUACGUGAGCAUCUACAUGGCGCACCUUCACAACUAGUUUCUCCACUCAAGCAGCAAUGUCGUUCCAUAGUGGAGCAGCCCAGACGGGUUUGCCCUGUUGUUACCAGUUGUUCUGUCUCCACUGCUGUAGCCAUCCCCACAGAGCAUUUGCCACCAUCCACGAAUCAGUGUAGAGGUAGAUCCUUGGCUGUUUUUCCCAAUGUCAUGGCUUGACAUGAUAGCCUUUUCUGGUAAGGGGGAAGGGGCUAUAAAGAUGGCUCCUGUAAGAAGUUGCUCACAACUCUCCCCAGCUCAGAGUCAGACCCACUUCUGGGGCUGAGCCAAUUAGACGCCUCCACAAUCACUUUUGAAGAAGAACACAGAAGAGGAGGUUUCUUCUUCCAUCUUCCUCCACCUUCUUUCUUCUUCUGCCCCUUCUUUUCCUUCUGGCUGGUGGUGGUGCAAGGAGUAGGAACAGUGAGAGAAACAACCAUGUGGACUCCAAGGUCAGUGAUGAAAGAGAGGAGGAGGUGUGCUGGAGCAGAGACUCCCCUGCAUUCUACAGAGAGAACUGGUGAAGCUGAGAUUUAUUUUAAUUUCUUUAAAGACCCUGCAUCAAUGGUAGAGACUCAUUUUGAUAAUGAGCCCAUAUCAGAGGCAGACACUCAUUCUGCUAAAGCUGGCCCCAGACCAGGGGCAGUGAUUUACUUCAUUAAAGGCCCCAAGUCAGGGACAGUGAAUAUGGCCGGAAGAGGCUGUGUCCUGAAGGAGGGACCCAAUAUCCACAGCUGUAACUUUGGGGAGGAACCCAGAACAAAGCAGCUCAUUAAACUUAUGCCCAGAAGAGGCCUUGUCCCGAGAGAGGGACCUUGUACCUCCAGAAACUGCAACUGUAGUGAAGAAUCCACGCCUGAGAUAUUCACCAAGGACUGUGUCCCAUGUGAGGGACCCUGUAUCGGCAGAAGUCGCAGCUGCUGGGAACAACCCACACCAGAGAAGUUUGUUAAGGACUGUGUUCCGGGGAAGGAACCCCGUGUUGGAGCAGGGGAAGAAUGCCAGGAGUCAUCCUCAUCUGAGAAGACAGAAGCGGCAGAGCCCAUCUGUGAGAGACUGACCACAUCCCCCACUCCCUGCCCCUCUGAGCUGUUGAGGGGGAAGGAGGUAGAGAUAUCGGGAGCAGUGAAGUGGGCCUGAGAAGAAAGGAGGGAUGGGGGAGGGAGAUCUUAAAGUGCUGGUUGUAAUUUUCUCAUCAUCCUACUCCCUUUUUUGCUUUUAUUCCGUUCUGUUUCUUGUAGAAUAAACUUUCCCACUUUCCUUUCUAA